rnacentral:rRNA from 1 species
UGGUGGGUAGUUUGACUGGGGCGGUCUCCUCCUAAAGAGUAACGGAGGAGCACGAAGGUUGGCUAAUCCUGGUCGGACAUCAGGAGGUUAGUGCAAUGGCAUAAGCCAGCUUGACUGCGAGCGUGACGGCGCGAGCAGGUGCGAAAGCAGGUCAUAGUGAUCCGGUGGUUCUGAAUGGAAGGGCCAUCGCUCAACGGAUAAAAGGUACUCCGGGGAUAACAGGCUGAUACCGCCCAAGAGUUCAUAUCGACGGCGGUGUUUGGCACCUCGAUGUCGGCUCAUCACAUCCUGGGGCUGAAGUAGGUCCCAAGGGUAUGGCUGUUCGCCAUUUAAAGUGGUACGCGAGCUGGGUUUAGAACGUCGUGAGACAGUUCGGUCCCUAUCUGCCGUGGGCGCUGGAGAAUUGAGGGGGGCUGCUCCUAGUACGAGAGGACCGGAGUGGACGCAUCACUGGUGUUCGGGUUGUCAUGCCAAUGGCACUGCCCGGUAGCUAAAUGCGGAAGAGAUAAGUGCUGAAAGCAUCUAAGCACGAAACUUGCCCCGAGAUGAGUUCUCCCUGACUCCUUGAGAGUCCUGAAGGAACGUUGAAGACGACGACGUUGAUAGGCCGGGUGUGUAAGCGCAGCGAUGCGUUGAGCUAACCGGUACUAAUGAACCGUGAGGCUUAACCUUACAACGCCGAAGGUGUUU